UGCAAAGUUUGAAGUGCCAUUUGUACUGGUGUGCACUUUCCUCCCAGACACCGCAGGAAAAGAAGCAGAAGUGGCUGACAUGUGUGGACCACCUGCAGAACGUGCACGAUAGUUGUUUACAUCCUCCAAUUACUAGAGAAAAAGCGUGGCUAUUAUCAGGUUGUUGUUUGUUUUUCGCAGUGGUGGAACUCCUGACAAAGACCAUGUUUGUCAGCAAUGUCAUGAAGAUGUCUCACCUCAGACAGACCAGUGGCGUGGAAGCUUUUCACAGUGUGGUGAAUCACUUUG